AGAGUUUGAUCCUGGCUCAGGACGAACGCUGGCGGCGUGCUUAACACAUGCAAGUCGAACGCUGAAGCUCCAGCUUGCUGGGGUGGAUGAGUGGCGAACGGGUGAGUAACACGUGAGUAACCUGCCCCCCUCUUUGGGAUAACUCCGGGAAACCGGGGCUAAUACUGGAUAGGACUGCUGGCCGCAUGGUUGGUGGUGGAAAGAUUUUUUGGUGGGGGAUGGGCUCGCGGCCUAUCAGCUUGAUGGUGGGGUGAUGGCCUACCAUGGCGACGACGGGUAGCCGGCCUGAGAGGGUGACCGGCCACACUGGGACUGAGACACGGCCCAGACUCCUGCGGGAGGCAGCAGUGGGGAAUAUUGCACAAUGGGCGCAAGCCUGAUGCAGCGACGCCGCGUGGGGGAUGACGGCCUUCGGGUUGUAAACCUCUUUCGACUCCGAAGAAGCGUAAGUGACGGUAGGGGUAGAAGAAGCACCGGCUAACUACGUGCCAGCAGCCGCGGUAAUA
rnacentral:rRNA from 1 species